UGUUGCUUGAUUUUCAACAGAACAAAAGAGGACCCAUAAAUUCUGAAGUUAAUUGCUGUGAACAACUUCCUUCUAUGUCUCAGAUAUUGCGUAGCGAUGAGGGCUGUGGUGGCCGACUGACAGUGACAAAAAGAAAGAGAAAAAUGGUACCCUCGCCUGCAGAAACAACAGAACAAAGAGUUUACUCUUGCAGAUGUGAGAAAUUUAAACGUGGAACAUCUUGAUCGAUUCAGUCCAGAACAUGUAGGAUUUGGUGAAUUUGGGACGAGAAUAUGAUUGAAAUGAAGGGUUGUGAGAGCAAUGCAAAGAGAUUGUAGAUGAAAGGCUCACUCUCUGAGUGCUUGAAGAGAAAAUCAAGAUCCUAACCUUCUGUUUCUCUCUUUCUUUCACGCGCGUGCGUACUCAGAAAAAUCUCUCCCGUGGACAGACACACGUACAACACCCUAAUCAAAUUUGCAGAAACAUUUUCUGCUACAGCUGCCUAAAUUGCAGAUAUGUAUUAAAAUAUUUGUCUCCAUUUUUCCUAAUUUCAUCUUUUUUUUUUUUUUAGUUCAACAAUUGCAGGGUGAGGAUCGAACCAACGAACUUUAGACUAAACUAUGCUCGGAUUAACGUAUAUGUUCGAAUUCCGACCCUUUAACCGAACGGUUAGGUCCCUUCAUUUAGGCUUCUCAAUUUUCGUUAUACAAUCAAUCCUUUUCUUAACUAAAUUCACCUUCUCUCUGGAUUCUUUUGAAGCUUGUUGCAUAUACUUUCUCUUUGUUUCUGUUUUUUUUUUCUUUUUCAGUGUAAAUUGAGAAGAAAGUAGGUUGCGUGCAACGCAGCUACAAAGACAGGCUUCAAAAUUCUGCAAUUCAGGUGAAGAAGGUGAGACAUGACAGUGGUGAAACAAAGUAAAGGGUAAGAGAGAGCCCUAAAUUAAGCUCUACCUAGCCCCAUACGCGUCAAAGGGUCUAGAUUAAUUCAUCUCUUUUUUAGCCUUUUUCUUACCUAUGGAUAGAGAAAAAAAAAAAAAAAAAAAAAAACUAAAUUUAUAAGAACAAACAAACAAACCAAAACACGACUUUUAUUAUUUUUCUAGCAUUUCUUUUACUCAUACAAAACAAAGAGAGCUACAUAAACUUACCUCUCUUAUGUGAUCUAGGUCUUUGCCUUUUCUUUGGAAUCAAUUCAAAAGAAAAAAAAAAAGUAUAAAUAAAACAACCACCACCAAAAAACCAACUCCCUUUUACCUUUCCAGCGAGAAAGCUUUAAAACCCUUCUUCCUUUCCCUUUGAUAAACUAACUUGUGAGGGUGAUUUAGUCACUGAAUUCUGCAAAGCUCUGCUGAACAAGCUGAAGCAAAACCCUAACUGGAAGAAGAAGAAAAAGAAGAAGAAGAGAGAAAAGAUGGAGAGAGAGAGAGAGAGAAGUGAAAUGAGUGACAAAAAUUGAGGGUAUUGAGUGGAGGGAAAGAUGGGGAAAAUAGUAUAUUUAGUGGAUGGGAAGAAGCAGAGAGAAGGGAAUGGAGGCAAAAGACAAGGAUAAUAAAUGGUGGGUACACUAACAAAAGAAUGACUAUGACCCUGCAUCCAAUAAUAUUAUCAUGGAUGUGGGAUUGUCUCCCUUUUUUAUUCCCUUCUAAUUUUUUUCAUGCACUCCCCAUUACACACCUCAUACCUAUCAUUUUCAUAUAUCUUAUCAUUUUUUUUUCAAUUGAAUACCUCCAUUAAUAUUAUAAUACCCUUUUCAAUACCCAUUCAUUCAUUGCUUAAGUAACGAGUAUAAUGCUAUUAAGAUUAUACUCUUGUCAUUACACAAGUAUACUCGUUAUUUAAGUAGUGAGAAUGAAUAGAUUUGAACUUAGAAUUUAGAUGAAAGAUUGAAAUUUGAUCAAGUGUUUUGAGUAUAUAGACGUGUAGGUUCAUGAUAGAUUCACCACCAAAAAGAAAGAAAGAAAGAAAGAAUGAAAACUGAUAGCAGGAUUUUAUCACGAUUGUACUGACCGAGGCCAUGCACUGCAACUUGCAAAAUAAACCACAUAUCUCUUUCUUUUUCUUUUGCUUUCUCUCUCUCUCUCUCUUUCUCUCUCUCUGUAACUUGUUUCAAAUUCAAUCAUAUCGCAUCAUACUAAAAAAAUGGUUGCUAUUAUUGCGCAUCAAUUUAUGUUUUACCUUUUAACUCCCAAUGAUCUUCUUUUGGGUGAAAUUUAAACCAGCGAUGAAAAUAACAGAGCCUCACUUGAUUAUACUGGGAAUGAAGAACAUGAUAUUUGGUGACGAAGAGAACAGAUUCGAGGAUGUAAAAUCAAGUUGAUGGGUUAGUACUUCUUGUUCUCUUUCAAUUGAUUGAUAAUUUUCGGUAUUUAAUUAUAGUAUACACAUUUAUCUAUUUAUUUAUUUAGCUUAGGGGUAGGCUUUUAGGGCGAUGUGCGUAGUCUAGGGGAGGGGUCUCCCGGCGAUGCUGCUAUCACGCCUUUUACCCAAUUGCUCACCAUAUUCCACAAAAAUACAAAUAUCAAUGUCACAUUAUCAAAUUUAAACUUAUAAUUCAAUAAAUAAACAAAAAAACUUAUCUAGCUAGAUAAAAAAG